rnacentral:rRNA from 1 species
UGAACGCUAGCGGUAGGCUUAACACAUGCAAGUCGUGGGGUAACGAUGGUGUUCGCACCAGGCGACGACCGGCGCACGGGUGAGUAACACGUAUGCAACCUACCUUUAACUGGAGGAUAGCUCCGAGAAAUCGGAAUUAAUACUCCAUAAUAUCUAUUUAUCGCAUGAUUUUUAGAUUAAAGCUCCGGCGGUUAAAGAUGGGCAUGCGGGACAUUAGCUUGUUGGUGAGGUAACGGCUCACCAAGGCAACGAUGUCUAUGGGGUCUUAAAGGAUGGUCCCACACACUGGUACUGAGACACGGACCAGACUCCUACGGGAGGCAGCAGUGAGGAAUAUUGGGCAAUGGGCGAAAGCCUGACCCAGCCAUACCGCGUGCAGGAUGACGGCUCUAUGAGUUGUAAACUGCUUUUGUACAGGAAGAAAAAAAUCUACGUGUAGAUAACUGACGGUACUGUACGAAUAAGGAUCGGCUAACUCC